rnacentral:rRNA from 1 species
UACAGAGGGGGCGAGCGUUGUUCGGAAUUACUGGGCGUAAAGGGCGCGUAGGCGGCCCGCUAAGUCGAACGUGAAAUCCCCAGGCUCAACCUGGGAACUGCGUCCGAUACUGGCAGGCUUGAAUCCGGGAGAGGGAUGUGGAAUUCCAGGUGUAGCGGUGAAAUGCGUAGAUAUCUGGAGGAACACCGGUGGCGAAGGCGGCAUCCUGGACCGGUAUUGACGCUGAGGCACGAAAGCUAGGGGAGCAAACGGG